GACGAACGCUGGCGGCGUGCCUAAUACAUGCAAGUAGAACGCUGAAGGAGGAGCUUGCUUCUCUGGAUGAGUUGCGAACGGGUGAGUAACGCGUAGGUAACCUGCCUGGUAGCGGGGGAUAACUAUUGGAAACGAUAGCUAAUACCGCAUAAUAGUAGAUGUUGCAUGACAUUUGCUUAAAAGGUGCAAUUGCAUCACUACCAGAUGGACCUGCGUUGUAUUAGCUAGUUGGUGGGGUAACGGCUCACCAAGGCGACGAUACAUAGCCGACCGGAGAGGGUGGUCAGCCACACUGAGACUGAGACACGGCCCAGACUCCUACAGGAGGCAGCAGUAGGGAAUCUUCGGCAAUGGACGGAAGUCUGACCGAGCAACGCCGCGUGAGUGAAGAAGGUUUUCGGAUCGUAAAGCUCUGUUGUAAGAGAAGAACGAGUGUGAGAGUGGAAAGUUCACACUGUGACGGUAUCUUACCAGAAAGGGACGGCUAACUACGUG
rnacentral:rRNA from 1 species